ensembl:lncRNA
GCGGCGGCGGCGGCGGGCCGGCCCCGCUCCUCCUCUCGGCGCCUCGCCGCUCCCUUCCCUCGCUGGCUCUUUCUCUCGCUCCCUCAUUUCUGUGUGGCUGGCCACCCCUCUCCCCAGUGCUGAGUGUCUGAGAGCCGUUGGCUGCUCUGAACCGUUUGGCUCCUUCCCUUAGUAACAGCUUUUACAUUCUGCCUCAAUUCCUCUUCAAUCUAAAUCACACACACACACAGAUAUUACUUUUUUUCCUCCUUCCUUGGGACUUAAUCUCUAAUCCCCCCCCCUUCUUUCCCCACCCUCCCCCUCCCCCCCCAGUCUCUGGCUUGGGAUAUAAUUGAAUAUCACAGCAGUAUUUGGUGGUUAUUUUUUUUCUUCCUCCUUCUGUUUUUUUUUCCUGUUUUUUUUUUCCUCCUCUUGGUGUGGACACCUCAGCUAAAAAAAUAUUAUACAUACAUAUAUGUGUAUAUAUAUAUAUACACACACAGACACACAUAUGCGUGUAUAUAUAUACCGAGCUGUAUAAAAAAAAAAGGAGGAGAGAAAAACAAGGGUGAAUUUCUUUUUUGCCUCCAUUCCAAAGGAAGGGGGGGGAGCAGCCACUCAGCCAUCAAUUGCAAGUGGAAAUGCCRGCAGAGUCCCAGCGUUACAUACUGAGUAGGCCUCUGACGUGCAGCCGGGAGGGCAGGGAUGCCUGCUGUGAAGACCCUCUCCGUUCUGUUUUGUAUCGCCUCCAGACCUGCCCGCUCUAUCGGGAGCUUAGAGACUGCCGUUAAAUCAAAGAGCUUGGAGCACGUCUGCCAUGCGCGGUGCUGGGCAGCAUGGAGACUUGCAGGCCGACCCAAAGUCGGCCCGGCCGUCUGGCCAUGCGUGUGACUUCUGAGCGUUCAUCUGUUUGCUGCUUAGGGCGUGCGUUGCCUCCCGUUACCCUUCCCUAGCCCGAUCGCUUUACUGCCUGGUGGUGGUCUGCGUCCCCUGCGUUAGAGCUGUCUGCAGGAUCUGGCCUUCGUGCUGAGGUUAUAGGUGUGUUAUGCCCUCACCUAGCGCGCGGAGGCUGUUAGGUGCAGUUGGGACCCCAGGACUGUCACAGUACGAGUAAUUAUAAUAUAUGGUAUCACAAUAUAAAUAAUACCCUCUUUUAUUCAGCAGUACAGAAGUUAUGGUCUUUCUGGAAUACCAAAAUGUAGGAGCGCUUCAUCUGCUGUUUGGCUGAUAGAACAAAUAGAGUAGUUCAGCUUUCUUAAAUGACCGUGUUUCGUGCUUAGUGCUUCACCUUUAAAGGGAGAACGCCUUAGGAUGUGGGUAUGACCUUUGCGUUUUACUUCAAUUGCUUUUCAGUGACUUGCACCCAGAAAUAGAGAUAUUACCUGUGUGUCAGUUGCUGCAUGCCUUUUCUGCCCUACUUAAAAUCUUUUUCUUUUAAAAGUAUUGAACUGUUUCUGAAUAUUGAAUAUAGGUCCUGCAUUAGGUCAGGGUGUCUUUCAAACCUUAAUUUACACCUUUGAGUACCUAAUACUAGAAGAAAUGUCUGCUAGGCCUGGGACAGAGUGCAGUGAAAAUGAUAUAAAUUAACGUGCAAAAAACCUUGUUUAAGUAGUUGAUUUUUGUUUUGUUUUUGAUAUACAAAAAUCACACUUUUUAAAGAAUUGAAAUAACC